rnacentral:lncRNA from 1 species
UUCUUUUGAAAAGAGAGGUUUCGCCCCUUCCGGCUCUUCUCCUCCAUGCUUCAGUUGCCGAGUAUGAUUUGGUAUAGUUUCAAAGUUUUAAGCUGGAGCCUCACGUCACGGAACGAAUGUUUUGUUUUCAAAUCAGCUUCGAAGAAUGGCCGGGAAUCGUCUUCCUAAAAAGAAGAGUCUUCGUUUGAAAAAAUAUAGUUUUC